rfam:Candidatus Saccharibacteria bacterium GW2011_GWC2_44_17, complete genome.
GCCUACCGACAAAUGUCGCACGGGUACCGAAAUGAACAUUUUCAAAAAAUAUUAAUUAAUGAAUUCGGUCGACACGUACCCCGUUCUAUUUGCGAGAAGAAAGACAGAGUAAGGUAGUGCUCCUAUAGUAAUAUAGGCAGCAGGAG